rnacentral:rRNA from 1 species
GGGGAAUAUUGGACAAUGGGGGGAACCCUGAUCCAGCCAUGCCGCGUGUGUGAAGAAGGCCUUUUGGUUGUAAAGCACUUUAAGCGAGGAGGAGGCUCUUCUGGUUAAUACCUAGAAUGAGUGGACGUUACUCGCAGAAUAAGCACCGGCUAACUCUGUGCCAGCAGCCGCGGUAAUACAGGGGGUGCGAGCGUUAAUCGGAUUUACUGGGCGUAAAGCGUACGUAGGCGGCUUUUUAAGUCGGAUGUGAAAUCCCUGAGCUUAACUUAGGAAUUGCAUUCGAUACUGGGAAGCUAGAGUAUGGGAGAGGAUGGUAGAAUUCCAGGUGUAGCGGUGAAAUGCGUAGAGAUCUGGAGGAAUACCGAUGGCGAAGACAGCCAUCUGGCCUAAUACUGACGCUGAGGUACGAAAGCAUGGGGAGCAAAC